UUAAGCGACUAAGCGUACACGGUGGAUGCCCUGGCAGUCAGAGGCGAUGAAGGACGUGCUAAUCUGCGAAAAGCGUCGGUAAGGUGAUAUGAACCGUUAUAACCGGCGAUGUCCGAAUGGGGAAACCCAGUGCAAUUCGUUGCACUAUCGUUAACUGAAUACAUAGGUUAACGAGGCGAACCGGGGGAACUGAAACAUCUAAGUACCCCGAGGAAAAGAAAUCAACCGAGAUUCCCCCAGUAGCGGCGAGCGAACGGGGAGCAGCCCAGAGUCUGAAUCAGCUUGUGUGUUAGUGGAACGGUCUGGAAAGUCCGACGGUACAGGGUGAUAGUCCCGUACACCAAAAUGCACAGGUUGUGAACUCGAAGAGUAGGGCGGGACACGUGGUAUCCUGUCUGAAUAUGGGGGGACCAUCCUCCAAGGCUAAAUACUCCUGACUGACCGAUAGUGAACCAGUACCGUGAGGGAAAGGCGAAAAGAACCCCGGCGAGGGGAGUGAAAAAGAACCUGAAACCGUGUACGUACAAGCAGUGGGAGCACCUUCGGGUGUGACUGCGUACCUUUUGUAUAAUGGGUCAGCGACUUAUAUUCUGUAGCAAGGUUAACCGUAUAGGGGAGCCGCAGGGAAACCGAGUCUUAACUGGGCGUUAAGUUGCAGGGUAUAGACCCGAAACCCGGUGAUCUAGCCAUGGGCAGGUUGAAGGUUGGGUAACACUAACUGGAGGACCGAACCGACUAAUGUUGAAAAAUUAGCGGAUGACUUGUGGCUGGGGGUGAAAGGCCAAUCAAACCGGGAGAUAGCUGGUUCUCCCCGAAAGCUAUUUAGGUAGCGCCUCGUGAACUCAUCUUCGGGGGUAGAGCACUGUUUCGGCUAGGGGGUCAUCCCGACUUACCAACCCGAUGCAAACUACGAAUACCGAAGAAUGUUAUCACGGGAGACACACGGCGGGUGCUAACGUCCGUCGUGAAGAGGGAAACAACCCAGACCGCCAGCUAAGGUCCCAAAGUCAUGGUUAAGUGGGAAACGAUGUGGGAAGGCACAGACAGCCAGGAUGUUGGCUUAGAAGCAGCCAUCAUUUAAAGAAAGCGUAAUAGCUCACUGGUCGAGUCGGCCUGCGCGGAAGAUGUAACGGGGCUAAACCAUGCACCGAAGCUGCGGCAGCGACACUAUGUGUUGUUGGGUAGGGGAGCGUUCUGUAAGCCUGCGAAGGUGACCUGUGAGGGUUGCUGGAGGUAUCAGAAGUGCGAAUGCUGACAUAAGUAACGAUAAAGCGGGUGAAAAGCCCGCUCGCCGGAAGACCAAGGGUUCCUGUCCAACGUUAAUCGGGGCAGGGUGAGUCGACCCCUAAGGCGAGGCCGAAAGGCGUAGUCGAUGGGAAACAGGUUAAUAUUCCUGUACUUGGUGUUACUGCGAAGGGGGGACGGAGAAGGCUAUGUUAGCCGGGCGACGGUUGUCCCGGUUUAAGCAUGUAGGCUGGUUGUCCAGGCAAAUCCGGAUAAUCAAGGCUGAGGUGUGAUGACGAGGCACUACGGUGCUGAAGUAACAAAUGCCCUGCUUCCAGGAAAAGCCUCUAAGCAUCAGGUAACAUUAAAUCGUACCCCAAACCGACACAGGUGGUCAGGUAGAGAAUACCAAGGCGCUUGAGAGAACUCGGGUGAAGGAACUAGGCAAAAUGGUGCCGUAACUUCGGGAGAAGGCACGCUGGUGUGUAGGUGAAGUCCCUGCGGAUGGAGCUGAGACCAGUCGAAGAUACCAGCUGGCUGCAACUGUUUAUUAAAAACACAGCACUGUGCAAACACGAAAGUGGACGUAUACGGUGUGACGCCUGCCCGGUGCCGGAAGGUUAAUUGAUGGGGUUAUCCGUAAGGAGAAGCUCUUGAUCGAAGCCCCGGUAAACGGCGGCCGUAACUAUAACGGUCCUAAGGUAGCGAAAUUCCUUGUCGGGUAAGUUCCGACCUGCACGAAUGGCGUAAUGAUGGCCAGGCUGUCUCCACCCGAGACUCAGUGAAAUUGAACUCGCUGUGAAGAUGCAGUGUACCCGCGGCAAGACGGAAAGACCCCGUGAACCUUUACUAUAGCUUGACACUGAACAUUGAGCCUUGAUGUGUAGGAUAGGUGGGAGGCUUUGAAGCGUGGACGCCAGUCUGCGUGGAGCCAACCUUGAAAUACCACCCUUUAAUGUUUGAUGUUCUAACGUUGGCCCCUGACCGGGGUUGCGGACAGUGUCUGGUGGGUAGUUUGACUGGGGCGGUCUCCUCCCAAAGCGUAACGGAGGAGCACGAAGGUUAGCUAAUCCUGGUCGGACAUCAGGAGGUUAGUGCAAUGGCAUAAGCUAGCUUGACUGCGAGCGUGACGGCGCGAGCAGGUGCGAAAGCAGGUCAUAGUGAUCCGGUGGUUCUGAAUGGAAGGGCCAUCGCUCAACGGAUAAAAGGUACUCCGGGGAUAACAGGCUGAUACCGCCCAAGAGUUCAUAUCGACGGCGGUGUUUGGCACCUCGAUGUCGGCUCAUCACAUCCUGGGGCUGAAGUAGGUCCCAAGGGUAUGGCUGUUCGCCAUUUAAAGUGGUACGCGAGCUGGGUUUAGAACGUCGUGAGACAGUUCGGUCCCUAUCUGCCGUGGGCGCUGGAGAAUUGAGGGGGGCUGCUCCUAGUACGAGAGGACCGGAGUGGACGCAUCACUGGUGUUCGGGUUGUCAUGCCAAUGGCACUGCCCGGUAGCUAAAUGCGGAAGAGAUAAGUGCUGAAAGCAUCUAAGCACGAAACUUGCCCCGAGAUGAGUUCUCCCUGAGACUUUAAGUCUCCUGAAGGAACGUUAAAGACGAUGACGUUGAUAGGCCGGGUGUGUAAGCGCAGCGAUGCGUUGAGCUAACCGGUACUAAUGAACCGUGAGGCUUAACCUU
rnacentral:rRNA from 1 species